UACUGUAUCUGUUGGUAGCAUUCAUUGUGGCAUUAUUUCGAGGCUGUUCAAACACAAUGCACUAGACCAAGUGGAACUCCUUACCAAGUGUUAUCACAUAAGAAGAUUGCACAACUCUGCAUAUAAAAAGUUUAGCCUUGGAUAAGGUUCAUAUCCAAGCUAAGUUGUGGUUUAAUAGUUAUUUAUUACCCUGUGGGUUGCCAUUACCUUACGAUUUCACGUACUACCGUAUAUUCACCACUCUAACCACAUAAUAUUGUAUAGCGGGAAUAUUUGGCGAAUGAGCUAUUUGAAGUUUUUGAACCAAAUUAGCGUUUUUAAUUGUGCGUCUUAGGCAAAUUUACGGUAUGAUGUUAAAAUGACCAGCAAACUUUAAUUUGGCAGUUUUAAAAUUUGGCGAUCUGUGGUAAAAUUCGCCAAAUCGCCAAAUUUUCCCAUUACGUGUAUACAGUACCGUAAUACCUCUAAUUAAGGCAGCCCUCCAAAUACGCGACACACCUGAGUUUACGUAAUUUUCUGAUCUCUAAAAGUAGCGACAGCUGCGUUGACAACUAUUUUUAAUGUUGCAUCCUAAAUGGAGGUAAAUAUAGCCACACCUAGCCUAUUCUAGCCCACUGUAAAAUAUACAUUUUUAAGCGGCUAGAAAUCGAGGCAAGUAGACUGAGUAGAGCUACCUCCAAUUAGAUGCGGGACCCUAGGUAUUCAACAUAAUUUUUCAACCUCUAAAAGAAGCGACCUCUGGCUUCGUAAUUAUUAAAAAGUGUCGCCUUAAUUAGAGGUAUUUUACGUUGAAAACACCGGCUCUCGUCUGAUCACCGAAGUUAAGCAACGUCACAUGUUUUGCAUAUAAGUGGUGCCUUUAAUAAAUAGGAUGAAUACUAUGCUUGUAUACUGAGAUUUGGACGUGUAUAUACCUCGGGCCGAGAGCUUGCCAUUCUCAGUACAUACACUCUUAUGUUUGAUGUCUGGUAAUUAUUUUUAAGGAGUGAACACUGCUCUGACCAUAUGGGACUCAGGAACUCUAGCCACUGGGAUCGUUGUAUUAUAAUAUUAGUCACAUCCUCGUAACGGUUCCCCUGAAGAAAGACACUAGACACCCACGUGCAGGUCCCAAUGAACAGUAGUGUGCAAAGCAAUCCCUCAACAAAAGUUACCUUUGUAUAACAUCCAAAAAAAUUUUCUUUAGAGUCAAAGGUGUCUGUUAGAAGAGAUUCCACUGUAUAAGUAGUAUGUUGUGCUUGUGUGUGAAUCCACAUCGUAAACUUUUUUACACUAGAUACAAAAUGACUGGCAACUGCUCUAAGAGAGUACUCUAUUAUAGCUACCAGCUGCUCUGAUGGAGACUUUAGAGGGGCUUUAAUACCUACCAGAUUUAGAAGGAUGCUACAUGUUUAGAUACCAGCUAGCUGCUCUACCAUACUAGCUACUACAGCCUGGCUAAUUAGAAAAGAAACGGUAAGCCAAUCACAUACAAUGUACAUGCUGCUGCCUGUAUGGUAUAACAUAGUUAGUGUUAACCCUAUCCCCUCCCUCAAAUUGUGGAGGCUGAGGUUGAUAUCAGGUACGAGUUCACCCUGGAGAGCAUUGUUAGGUACAAAUAGAUGUAGGAUUCACAUGACUACAUGUAUAAUUAACCCUGGAGAUGAUAGUUAAGCAAUCCAAACUAGGACAGGACUGUCUACUGGUCACACUGCGCUAACCUAACAGGUAACCACUAGUACUGGUACUCGUAGUUGACUGAAAUUUAACCAUAAAAGGAACAAAACAAUUGCGCAUGUGUACUGCACAUUGUGUGUGACAGUGUGUACUAAAACUAAGCUAGCCUUUUAAAUUAUGCUGUUGAUUGCGGAUUUCAGUACUCUUUUGUGUAUGGUAUGGUAUGGUAUUCACACCCUCCUCCAAACUCCCAUUUCAUACCAUGUCAUGCAAUGACCCUGAUUUUCGUUAGUUUGUACAAGACAAAGGUAACUCCCACCCUCUCCCAAGGAAGAUGCAUGAGGGUGUGUGUAUGAAAAAGCCCUGGGAAUCAUUGGGACAAGUCUCUCAAAUUUCUCUGUCAGAAGUUGUCAUGCUCUUCCUCAUAACACAGUCCCCUGAGCACUCUUGGCCACCAAAGUAUUGAUGUCCAUUUCCACUGCACAGAACAGUAGACUUGAGAGAAGGUUCACCUUCAACUUUAAGGAGCUGGUUUGCUAUGGACCUCAAGCCUCUCUCAGUGACUGUGCAGGUCCCAACUUGUGUCUAUACUAGAGCAGGGAGAGGUGUGAGCUGUCGUUAUGUAAUACUGUUUUAAUUUGUAAUUCCCGUUUGUUGGUGGCAAUGUAGCCAAAUUAAAA